UGUGGUGAAACUCUCCUUUAUCACAGAGGGUUGAGUAUGAUCCUGUUGCUGAACCCGAACUCCUCGGCCGGAUCCACAGACGGGGGACACAGACAGUCUGCAGUUCCUCCACUGAAUCCGCUUGUACUAAUGAAGCGAUUGAGAUGUGCUCAAGGAAUCAGAAUAUGAUAAUGAGUCAAAACUGCCGUCUGCAUGUGUGUGUGAGAUGAAGGGUUAAUGACAUCAUCCUCCAGGAAGUGACAUCAUUUUGGAGGGAAAUGUGUCCCCUGUCUGAGAGUCAGGAGGAAUGUGAACACACCAGACGCGACGGCACGAGAGAUACGGCUCUUCACGAGAACAG